ACCUAUAAACAGACAGUUGCCUUACUAUGACCUUAGUCACAGGCACUGUUUUCAUUUAUCUAAUUAUAGGAUAAUUUAUUGAUAUAUAUAUAUAUACUUACCUUUUACCUAUAGAAUUUUUUGGAAACCUAUUGGGAACCCCGUUGGACCCCACUGGCAGCAUUAAGUCUAACUUUGCUACUAUUGAGGAAAGAUAUAGAUACAACGAUUUGUUAUCUGUAUCUCUUCCUCUUGCUUGUGGUGAACUCCUCACAAACAUUUCAUUGUCCGCACCUGCCAAAAUCAAGUGGAUCUGGCUUCCACUGAUUACAAGUGGAGUAGCUAAUCUCCUGACUGCAUCAAGUGCUCCUUCGCUGACUCUCAGGCAGGUUUCUCUGCCCGGUUCUUAGAGCUUUUUAACGGAAGUGACCACUACAUGUGUAAAAAAGGAACAGGAAUAUUAUGCAAGCCCUGACGAAGCACAUCUAGUGCGAAACUAGUUGGCAAACUCGCAUCAACUUUCCUUUAAAUAACCUGUCUCCCCUUUAAUUUGUUUAUCAUGAAAAUGUGGUUUUGAUCAUAUAUGUCUCAUUAUGUUAAUAACUGUAUGAAA